AUUAGAUACCCGCGUAGUCCCAGCUGUAAACGAUGCGCGUUAGGUGUAUCGGUGACCACGAGUCACCGAGGUGCCGAAGGGAAACCGUGAAACGUGCCGCCUGGGAAGUACGGUCGCAAGGCUGAAACUUAAAGGAAUUGGCGGGGGAGCACCACAACAGGUGGAGCCUGCGGUUUAAUCGGACUCAACGCCGGGAAGCUCACCGGAUAAGACAGCUGGAUGAUAGCCGGGCUGAAGACUCUGCUUGACUAGCUGAGAGGAGGUAA
rnacentral:rRNA from 1 species